rnacentral:rRNA from 1 species
CCUACGGGGCGCAGCAGUGGGGAAUAUUGGACAAUGGGCGAAAGCCUGAUCCAGCCAUGCCGCGUGUGUGAAGAAGGCCUUCGGGUUGUGAAGCACUUUCAGUGGGGAAGAAAGCCUUGGGGCUAAUACCCUCGAGGAAGGACAUCACCCACAGAAGAAGCACCGGCUAACUCCGUGCCAGCAGCCGCGGUAAUACGGAGGGUGCGAGCGUUAAUCGGAAUUACUGGGCGUAAAGCGCGCGUAGGCGGUCUGAUAAGCCGGUUGUGAAAGCCCCGGGCUCAACCUGGGAACGGCAUCCGGAACUGUCAGGCUAGAGUGCAGGAGAGGAAGGUAGAAUUCCCGGUGUAGCGGUGAAAUGCGUAGAGAUCGGGAGGAAUACCAGUGGCGAAGGCGGCCUUCUGGACUGACACUGACGCUGAGGUGCGAAAGCGUGGGUAGCAAACAGGAUUAGAUACCCUAGUAGUC